ensembl:lncRNA
CAGUAGCUGGGGUUUCUGGGCUCUAGAACAUGGGACUCAGUAGUUGUGGUGCAUGGGCUUAGUUGCUCCUUGGCAUGUAAGAAGUUCCCUGACCAGGGAUCGAACCCAUGUGCCUUUCAUUGGCGGGUGGAUUCUUAACCACUGAACCACCAGUGGAGUCCUGAAAGCAAUUUUUUGAGAGCAACUUGGCUCUGAGUGGUCAGUCAUCAGGACUGCUGUGGUACCUGGGAAAUGAGUGUCUCAGUUGCCUGACUGUCCUGCAGGCAUUUUUUAGGUGACACAUCAUAGCAUUAACUACAGGGUGAUUGUGAGUAUGAAAUAAAUUAACACAGAAAACGCUUGGAACAUUACCUGGUGUGAGAUCUUCCUGAUCCAGGGAUUGAACCUGAGUCUCCUGCUUGGCAGGUGGAUUCUUUACCACUGAGUCACCAGGGAAGCCCUUAUUGGAAUUAGCCUGUUGUUAUUCUCAUUAUCUUUAUCAAGGUGUUUCCAGCAGUCUGGGAUGGUGAGACGUUCCCACUUCCUGCCUCUUACUACUCUCCAAGCAUAUUUUACACAGUCCUGGCUGCAUGGUUUUUGUUCAGAUACUGCACAUCUGCUUUAAUUACUAAGGAAAAUGACACAUCGACCUGAAGUAAAGCAUGUCCAUGUUAAAAUGAAGGAUUAAAUGUUCCUCUUCCCGGGACACCAAUGCUUGAUCUUUCCCUUCCAGGCACGAAGGUCAUACUGACCCACUUUGGACAUGUUGGGUUUUUUUUUUUUUUUUUGGAAAUCUUGAAGAUAUGUAUCCCUGACUUGUUUAAAGUUUGUUCUGACAAGAUAUAAAACUGUGCUGAAAACGAGGCUUCUUGGGAGCAGUUUCAUGACUGCUGGGCUAUAGUCUUCAGUUUGGCUCAAAUAAAACUCUUUUUUAU